UAGGGGGUGUAGCAAUACAUCACCGGCGGACGGGUGCGUAACGCGUGGGAAUAUACCUAUUGGUUCGGAACAACUGAGGGAAACUUCAGCUAAUACCGAAUGUGCCCUAACGGGGAAAGAUUUAUCGCCAAUGGAUUAGCCCGCGUCCGAUUAGCUAGUUGGUGGGGUAAUGGCCCACCAAGGCUCCGAUCGGUAGCUGUUCUGAGAGGAAGAUCAGCCACACUGGGACUGAGACACGGCCCAGACUCCUACGGGAGGCAGCAGUUGGGAAUCUUGGACAAUGGGCGAAAGCCUGAUCCAGCCAUGCCGCGUGGGUGAAGAAGGCCCUAGGGUUGUAAACCCCUUUCAGCGGGGAAGAUAAUGACGGUACCCGCAGAAGAAGCCCCGGCUAACUCCGUG
rnacentral:rRNA from 1 species